AACGUACCUUUUGGUUCGGAACAACACAGGGAAACUUGUGCUAAUACCGGAUAAGCCCUUACGGGGAAAGAUUUAUCGCCGAAAGAUCGGCCCGCGUCUGAUUAGCUAGUUGGUGAGGUAAUGGCUCACCAAGGCGACGAUCAGUAGCUGGUCUGAGAGGAUGAUCAGCCACAUUGGGACUGAGACACGGCCCAAACUCCUACGGGAGGCAGCAGUGGGGAAUAUUGGACAAUGGGGGCAACCCUGAUCCAGCCAUGCCGCGUGAGUGAUGAAGGCCCUAGGGUUGUAAAGCUCUUUUGUGCGGGAAGAUAAUGACGGUACCGCAAGAAUAAGCCCCGGCUAACUUCGUGCCAGCAGCCGCGGUAAUACGAAGGGGGCUAGCGUUGCUCGGAAUCACUGGGCGUAAAGGGUGCGUA
rnacentral:rRNA from 1 species